UACCAGCACCCCGAGUGGUCGGGACGUUUAUUGGGCCUAAAGCAUCCGUAGCCGGUUCUACAAGUCUUCCGUUAAAUCCACCUGCUCAACAGAUGGGCUGCGGAAGAUACUAUGGAGCUAGGAGGCGGGAGAGGCAAGCGGUACUCGAUGGGUAGGGGUAAAAUCCGUUGAUCCAUUGAAGAACACCGGUGGCGAAGGCGGCCUGCUGGGCAGUAGCUGACACUGAGGCGCGACAGCGUGGGGAGCAAACAGG
rnacentral:rRNA from 1 species